rnacentral:rRNA from 1 species
AAUAGAUACCCAGGUAGUCCACGCCGUAAACGAUGAAUACUAGGUGUAGGGGUUGUCAUGACCUCUGUGCCGCCGCUAACGCAUUAAGUAUUCCGCCUGGGGAGUACGGUCGCAAGAUUAAAACUCAAAGGAAUUGACGGGGGCCCGCACAAGCAGCGGAGCAUGUGGUUUAAUUCGAAGCAACGCGAAGAACCUUACCUAGACUUGACAUCUCCUGCAUUACUCUUAAUCGAGGAAGUCUUUUCGGGGACAGGAUGACAGGUGGUGCAUGGUUGUCGUCAGCUCGUGUCGUGAGAUGUUGGGUUAAGUCCCGCAACGAGCGCAACCCUUAUUGUUAGUUGCCAUCAUUAAGUUGGGCACUUUAGCGAGACUGCCCGGGUUAACCGGGAGGAAGGUGGGGAUGACGUCAAAUCAUCAUGCCCCUUAUGUCUAGGGCUACACACGUGCUACAAUGGUCGGUACAAUAAGACGCAAGCCCGCGAGGGGGAGCAAAACUGGAAAACCGAUCUCAGUUCGGAUUGUAGGCUGAAACCCCGCCUACA